rnacentral:rRNA from 1 species
UCGAGGGAGGAGCCUUCGGGCUUCGACCGGCGUACGGGUGCGUAACGCGUAUACAAUCUGCCUUUCACAUAGGGAUAGCCCGAAGAAAUUUGGAUUAAUACCUAAUGGUAUAUAGGUGUGGCAUCACAUUUAUAUUAAAGCUGAGGCGGUGAAAGAUGAGUAUGCGUUCUAUUAGCUAGUUGGAGAGGUAACGGCUCCCCAAGGCGACGAUAGGUAGGGGUCCUGAGAGGGAGAUCCCCCACACUGGUACUGAGACACGGACCAGACUCCUACGGGAGGCAGCAGUGAGGAAUAUUGGUCAAUUGGCGAGAGCCUGAACCAGCCAAGUCGCGUGAAGGAUGACUGUCUUAUGGGUUGUAAACUGCUUUUGUAAGGGAAGAAUAAGGACUACGUGUAGUUUGAUGACGGUACCUUAUGAAUAAGCAUCGGCUAACUCCGUGCCAGCAGCCGCGGUAAUACGGAGGAUGCGAGCGUUAUCCGGAAUCAUUGGGUUUAAAGGGUCUGUAGGCGGGCUUGUAAGUCAGAGGUGAAAGCGCUUAGCUCAACUAAGCAACUGCCUUUGAAACUGCUGGUCUUGAAUGGUUGUGAAGUAGUUGGAAUGUGUAGUGUAGCGGUGAAAUGCUUAGAUAUUACACAGAACACCGAUAGCAAAGGCAUAUUACUAACAAUUAAUUGACGCUGAUGGACGAAAGCGUGGGGAGCGAACAGGAUU